UCAACCAUCAAGCCUAGCUUGUCGUUGGACUUUGCAACUGAAAUAUGUGGCAGGUCUGAAAGAUAAUGACGGUGUCAUGUUUGACCCUAGAUGCAACGAGCUUUUAAUAGCACGCAUUGAAGUGGUCGGGUCACCCGGUCUUAACCAUCAUUUUCUAA
rnacentral:misc_RNA from 1 species